rnacentral:tRNA from 1 species
GGGGAUAUGACUCAGCUGGUAGAGUGUUUGCCUUGCAUGCACAAGGCCCUGGGUUCAAUUUUCAGCAUACACA